rnacentral:rRNA from 1 species
AGCGAACGCUGGCGGCAGGCUUAACACAUGCAAGUCGAGCGCCACGCCAGGGGUGUGGUAGACUGGAGGGUAAGACGUGGGAAGAUUAAUAUUGGUUCGAAACAACUGAGGGAAACUUCAGAUAAUACCGGAUAAGCGCUUAUGGGGAAAGAUUUAUCGGCGAAGGUUUGGGCCGCGUCUGAUUUGCUAGUUGGUGAGGUGACGGCUCACCAAGGCGACGAUCAGUAGCUGGUCUGAGAGGAUGAUCAGUCUAACUGGGACUGAGACACAGCCCAGACUCCUACGGGAGGCAGCAGUGUGGUAUAUUGUACAAUGGGGCCAACCCUGAUACAGCCAUGCCGCGUAUGUGAUGAUGCCCUUUGUGUUGCAAAUCUCUUUUUCCCGGAGAGAUAAUGACGGUACCGGGUAAAUAAGCCCCGGCUAACUUCGUG